GGAGGUUGGCUCAGAAGCAGCCACCCUUGAAAGAGUGCGUAACAGCUCACUGGUCGAGCGUCCCUGCGCCAAAAAUGUGGGGGGCUAAGCAUGGCGCCGAAGCUUCGGAUUCAAUGGAGAUAUCUAUUGACUGGUAGGGGAGCGUUCUUUAUGGGACGAAGCAGUGCUGUAAGGCACUGUGGACAAUAAAGAAGUGAGAAUGACGGCAUGAGUAGCGAAAAGUGUGCGAAAAACACACUCACCGAAAACCCAAGGAUUCCUGGGGAAGGUUCAUCCACCCAGGGUUAGGCGGGACCUAAGGCGAGGCCGAAAGGCGUAGUCGAUGGACAGCGGGUAGACAAUCCCGCCCUUCGGUAGCUCGUUUGACAGAAGUGGUGACGCAGAAAGCUAUGCACGCCGGGUGAUGGAAAUCCCGGUACAAAGUCGUAGGCUGAAAAAAGAGGCAAAUCCCUUUUUUCUAAAGGCCGAGAACUGACGUGGAAGAAUCUAAUUCGAGAAGGUGCAAAUGCUCGGCUGCCGAGAAAAGCCACUAUGGAGAACUAUCGAACCCGUACUCAAAACCGACACAGGUGGGUUGGCUUAGAAGGCUAAGGUGAACGGGAUAACCAUUGUUAAGGAACUCUGCAAGUUGACUCCGUAACUUCGGGAGAAGGAGUGGCUGGAGAUGUUAAAACUAUACGUAAUAAGCAUCUUUGGUUCGCAGAAACCAGGCUCAGGCGACUGUUUAACUAAAACACAGGACUCUGCUCAAGGCGCAAGCCGAAGUAUAGGGUCUGACACCUGCCCGGUGCUGGAAGGUUAAAGGGAGAAGUUAGACGCAAGUCGAAGCCUUGAACUGAAGCCCCAGUAAACGGCGGCCGUAACUAUAACGGUCCUAAGGUAGCGAAAUUCCUUGUCGGGUAAGUUCCGACCUGCACGAAAGGUGUAACGAUCUGAGCGCUGUCUCGACAGUGGACCCGGUGAAAUUGUGGUACUGGUAAAGACGCCAGUUACCCGCAGUAGGACGGAAAGACCCCGUGGAGCUUUACUGUAACUUGAUAUUGAAUUUCGGUAUAGUAUGUAUAGGAUAGGUGGGAGUCAGUGAAAUAAGGACGUCAGUCUUUAUGGAGACACCGUUGGAAUACCACCCUUAUUGUGCUGGGAUUCUAACCGCAAGCAUUGAAGCAUGAUGCGGGACAUUGUCAGGCGGGCAGUUUGACUGGGGCGGUCGCCUCCCAAAGAGUAACGGAGGCGCGCGAAGGUCACCUCAGUGUGAAUGGAAAACACACAAAGAGCGUAAGGGUAUAAGGUGGCUUAACUGUGAGACUGACAGGUCGAUCAGAAACGAAAGUUGGUCCUAGUGAUCCGGUGGUCCUGAGUGGAAAGGCCAUCGCUCAUCGGAUAAAAGCUACCCCGGGGAUAACAGGCUGAUGCCGCCCGAGAGUUCCUAUCGACGGCGGCGUUUGGCACCUCGAUGUCGGCUCAUCGCAUCCUGGGGCUGAAGCAGGUCCCAAGGGUUGGUCUGUUCGCCCAUUAAAGCGGUACGUGAGCUGGGUUCAGAACGUCGUGAGACAGUUCGGUCCCUAUCCACUGUGGGCGCAAGGUAUUUGAGAGGAACUGUCCCUAGUACGAGAGGACCGGGAUGGACGGACCGCUAGUGAACCAGUUAUUCCGCCAGGAGUAAAAGCUGGGUAGCCAUGUUCGGAUCGGAUAACCGCUGAAGGCAUCUAAGCGGGAAGCCGGCCUCAAGAUGAGAUACCUCAUUGCAUAAGCAAGUAAGGUGUCCGGCAGACGACCGGUUAGAUAGGUUGGGAGUGUAAGAGGGUAACGCCCUUUGAGCUGACCAAUACUAAUACACCGAGGCCUUAACC
rnacentral:rRNA from 1 species